rnacentral:lncRNA from 1 species
UCAGAGACAUUCUAGCAAAGACAACAUCUGUGACCGACAGCAGGAGCAGUUCUGAAGGGAGAUAAUGUUUUCAGCUAAAUGGACCCAACAGGCUCCUGUGAAUGUGGCUUCUGUUUUCAUGUUCAUAUUGAUCCUCUCACCAGCAGUAAAUAGGGUGACAGGGACCCCCAGAGUCACUGCAUGAAUCCCUAACAAGUAAGGACUAACUCAGGAGGGACUGAACACUAUUCCACACACCUGCAAACAGUAUGGGUCAGGAAAUGCAUCCACACACUUACCAAAGACUAUGGUAUGCCCCAGGAAGAAAGCAGGAAUAAGCUGGAGCAUCAUCUGCAUAUCAGAUUUCUGGAUUUUUUCAAUAAAAUUCCCAGAUGGCAACCAUCAUACAAGAUUCUACCUCUGCACAAAUACGUGUUACACGGAAGAAAAGAAUCCUCUGGACCCAAUAUCUGAUGAUUGCUUUAGCAUGUGUUGAGCUGGAACAGCCAUGUGUGAAGAGAUACUGUCUAAUGAGCCUGCACUUCUCAGAAAUGAAACAAAAGAAAAAAUACCAGUGUUCUCCAGUUCAUCAAGACACUAUUACAACUUUUCACUUUGGAAGAAAAGUUAACUAUGCUUCUAAGUAAAAGUUAACUAUGAAGAAGAAUGAUGUGCUUUUGACAAAAGAGAAGGUAGGGGUUUUUUGUUGUUAAUUAGUUAACAAGCUAAAAAGUACUGUUCUGUGUCAAUCUGUAGCACUGUUGACUUUGAUCAGAAGAAUGUGAAGAUGUUUUGACACUGAGUAAUGAACAUGUCUCAAUAUAGCAUGUAUCAAGGAUUUGUGUUGAUACCAAUCAUGUUGAAUUAUGUCACUGCAACCCCAAAAAAAAUGCUUUGACAAAAUAUCUGCAAAGUCAUUGUGAACCUCUUGAUGUUGUAAAUAUAGAAGUGAUGAAAAUGUAAAGGAAUUGAAGUUUAAGCAUACAAAAAGGUAAACAAAUUUUAUUAUAUCACAUGAAAACUUUCACAAACUGAAUGAAUGAAUGCAUGAAUGAAUGCAUGAAAUGAUGAAUAUAUUAGAAGUCUUGUAAUAUCAAAAACAUUUUCUGACAAAUAGUUCUUUGAUAUUUUUACCAGAUACUCUUGCAAUACUUACAUAUAAUGCCUGUUAAUCAUUUUAUUUUGUCGAUUUAAAGAAGUUAUAAGUCAACGUGAAUAAAGGUAAAGUAUGUUUGCA